CCUGUGACAUACCUAAAACGUUGCUUCGGCGGGAACAGACGGCCCCGUGAAACGGGCCGCCCCCGCCAGAGGACCCCCUAACUCUGUUGCUAUAUGUAUCUUCUGAGUAAACAAGCAAAUAAAUUAAAACUUUCAACAACGGAUCUCUUGGCUCUGGCAUCGAUGAAGAACGCAGCGAAAUGCGAUAAGUAAUGUGAAUUGCAGAAUUCAGUGAAUCAUCGAAUCUUUGAACGCACAUUGCGCCCGCCAGUAUUCUGGCGGGCAUGCCUGUUCGAGCGUCAUUACAACCCUCAGGCCCCCGGGCCUGGCGUUGGGGAUCGGCGAGGCGCCCCCCUGCGGGCACGCGCCGUCCCCCAAAUACAGUGGCGGUCCCGCCGCAGCUUCCAUUGCGUAGUAGCUAACACCUCGCAACUGGAGAGCGGCGCGGCCAUGCCGUAAAACACCCAACUUCUGAAUGUUGACCUCGAAUCAGGUAGGAAUACCCGCUGAACUUAAGCAUAUCAA
rnacentral:rRNA from 1 species